rnacentral:rRNA from 1 species
GACAGAGGGUGCAAACGUUGUUCGGAAUUACUGGGCGUAAAGCGUGUGUAGGUGGCUGCGUAAGUCGGAUGUGAAAGCCCUGGGCUCAACUCAGGAAGUGCACUCGAUACUGCGUAGCUCGAGUACCGGAGAGGUUGGCAGAAUUCUCGGUGUAGAGGUGAAAUUCGUAGAUAUCGAGAGGAAUACCUGUGGCGAAGGCGGCCAACUGGACGAGUACUGACACUGAGACACGAAAGCGUGGGGAGCAAACAGG